rfam:Picea glauca, whole genome shotgun sequence.
AGGCCAAUGAUGAGUUAUAUUUUAGUUGGAAUUACCGGCUGAAAUUAUAUCAUUUGAUGACAUUUUUAUUCUGAGGCCUUAU